AAUUAAAGAUUUCAUCUUACU
rnacentral:miRNA from 1 species